UGGGGAAUCUUGCGCAAUGGGCGAAAGCCUGACGCAGCCGUGCCGCGUGAGUGAUGAAGGCCUUAGGGUUGUAAAACUCUUUCACCGGGGACGAUAAUGACGGUACCCGGAGAAGAAGCCCCGGCUAACUUCGUGCCAGCAGCCGCGGUAAUACGAAGGGGGCUAGCGUUGCUCGGAAUUACUGGGCGUAAAGGGCGCGUAGGCGGAUCAGCAAGUUGGGGGUGAAAGCCCGGGGCUCAACCUCGGAAUUGCCUUCAAAACUGCUGAUCUAGAGUACGGGAGAGGUGUGUGGAACUCCGAGUGUAGAGGUGAAAUUCGUAGAUAUUCGGAAGAACACCAGUGGCGAAGGCGACACACUGGCCCGUUACUGACGCUGAGGCGCGAAAGCGUGGGGAGCAAACAGGAUUAGAUACCCUGGGUAGUCCACGCUGUAAACGAUGAUUGCUAGUUGUCGGCAGGAUGCCUGUCGGUGACGCCAGCUAACGCAUUAAGCAUCCGCCU
rnacentral:rRNA from 1 species